rnacentral:rRNA from 1 species
UAUUCCUGUACUACCGAUAAACGUUUGAGAGAAGGGACGACACAGUAGGAUAAGCUAAGCACACUGUUGGUUAUGUGUGCCCAAGCAUUGAGGCAGUCAAAGUAGGCAAAUCCGCUUUGAUAAUGCUGGGAUGUGAUGGGGAGCGAAAUUUAGUAGCGAAGUAGCGGAUUUCACACUGUCAAGAAAAGUCUCUAUCGAGGUUAAAGGUACCCGUACCGCAAACCGACACAGGGGGGGGAGGAGAGUAUCCUAAGGCCAGCGAGAGAACUGUUGUUAAGGAACUCGGCAAAAUGACCCCGUAACUUAGGGAUAAGGGGUGCCACCAUCAGGUGGCCGCAGAGAAUAGGCCCAAGCGACUGUUUACCAAAAACAUAGGUUUCUGCUAAGUCGCAAGACGAUGUAUAGGAGCUGACGCCUGCCCGGUGCUGGAAGGUUAAGGGGAUCUGUUAGAG